CAAUCCAUGAGUAAAGUGGCGACCGGGUGAGUAACACGUGACUAACCUACCUUCGAGUGGGGAAUAACUCCGGGAAACCGGGGCUAAUACCGCAUAACAUCGCAAGAUCAAAGCAGCAAUGCGCUUGAAGAGGGGGUCGCGGCUGAUUAGCUAGUUGGCGGGGUAACGGCCCACCAAGGCGAAGAUCGGUAUCCGGCCUGAGAGGGCGCACGGACACACUGGAACUGAAACACGGUCCAG
rnacentral:rRNA from 1 species